rnacentral:rRNA from 1 species
AGAGUUUGAUCCUGGCUCAGAUUGAACGCUGGCGGCAUGCUUUACACAUGCAAGUCGAACGGUAACAGGGAGCUUGCUCCGCUGACGAGUGGCGAACGGGUGAGUAAUGCAUCGGAACGUGCCUAUUUGUGGGGGAUAACGUAGCGAAAGUUACGCUAAUACCGCAUACGCCCUGAGGGGGAAAGCGGGGGAUUCGUAAGAACCUCGCGCAAUUAGAGCGGCCGAUGUCGGAUUAGCUAGUUGGUGGGGUAAAGGCUCACCAAGGCGACGAUCCGUAGCGGGUCUGAGAGGAUGAUCCGCCACACUGGGACUGAGACACGGCCCAGACUCCUACGGGAGGCAGCAGUGGGGAAUUUUGGACAAUGGGCGAAAGCCU